UUGACUUCCCCAGACGACUUACAUUUCAGUCGUCUGGCGAAAAUUAAAAUAAUAAUAUUUUUUUAAAAGUAGACGACUUAAAGUUAAGUCGUCAUAGGUUAGUUUUGCAAUUGAAAAAAAAACUUCAAGAUUUAAUUAUACACAGACGACUUAUAAUUCAGUCGUCCACCAGACGACUUAAUUGUAAGUCGUCCAGGACUUUUUUCCGAGAUUCUG
rnacentral:lncRNA from 1 species